GCCUCGUGAGCUGUCCCUCUCACACCACUGCCGGGCACCCUCCACCAGGUCCACAAGCCCUGUGAACCAUCCCUCUCACACCACGUCUGCCGGGCACCCUCCAUGGCAGGUCCAAGCCCUGUGAGCCGUCCCUCUCACACCACGUCUGCUGGGCACCCUCCACCAGGUCCAAGUCUCGUGAGCCGUUCCUCUCACACCACGUCUGCUGGGCACCCUCCACAGCAGGUCCAAGCCUCGUGAGCCGUCCCUCUCACGCCACGUCUGCCGGGCACCCUCCACGGCAGGUCCGAGCUUUGUGAACCGUCCCUCUCACGUCUGCUUUGAGGGUUUGUGUCAAUGGGGCUGUGCAGCAUCAACCUGUGAUCUUGCCAAUGCCCCAGCCUCUGCUCUGUACGGCAUUCAUAGCUCAGGAGGGCGGGGACAAGGGCGUUUCUGCAAAGCUCUCACAGCUCCUUCUGCUCCUCGGCUUCUGGGAAGCAACUAGAAAUAGCUGAGAGCCCAGCUCUUUCUAGAGAGAAGGGGGUGUCCUUUAUGGGGGUCCCUGACUGUGGGGGACCGAGCCCAGCUGGAGUCCUCCUCCCCUUCUCUCCGGCAGCAGGUCUCUCUGGCAGCAGGGUCUGGAAUCUAGAAACACUGAGACCUCCAGCCCCGAAGGGGGCAAACAUUAAACCACACGCCCUGGCUGUGCCUCUCCUCCGGGCGGGACUUGGGGUGAUCAGACCCACAGCUCAAAGGGUGCCCCCUGGAGAAGCCCUCACAGUGCCUGGGGUGAUUUCAGCCUCCAAGGGGGGGCUUGAGACGAGGCCCCCCAAAAGGUAGGGGCAUCGCUGAGGGGCAGCGUGUCCUCCGGUGGGGGGUGUUGGGCACCUGCCCUGCUCAGACGGCUGUGUGCAGGAGGCAUGGGAGGAGCCCUCCCCCAGCGUGUCCCAGCCGUGGUGGCAGCUGGAAGACUCACGGACUGUGAUUUUAUGCAGAGGGAGAAGGAGAAGCUGGGCCAGGAAACCACAACAGGCAGCAGCACCUGCCUGGGCUGGGGCCUGGGAUUCGAGGCUGAGCCACCCAUCCCAGGAGGGCCCAGCACCUCCAGGGCAGACCAAACACAGGACCCAACCGGACACCCAUACAGACACCGGGGCACCUUGGCAUCUGGUAGAGCCCCUCCUCUGGAUGGCUGCCAGGCUGUGGGAGGGAAGGGCAGCACGAGACCCUGAUUGGGCUCUGCCUGGCGCUCUGCCACUGCGGACCAGGAGCCCGGACAGUCGGAUACC
rnacentral:lncRNA from 1 species